UGAGAGGGAACCCUGAAGCCUGAAUCGC
rnacentral:piRNA from 1 species